AGAGUUUGAUCAUGGCUCAGGACGAACGCUGGCGGCGUGCUUAACACAUGCAAGUCGAACGGAAAGGCCCUUCGGGGUACUCGAGUGGCGGACGGGUGAGUAACACGUGGGUGAUCUGCCCUGCACUUUGGGAUAAGCCUGGGAAACUGGGUCUAAUACCGAAUAUGACCAUGCACUUCCUGGUGUGUGGUGGAAAGCUUUUGCGGUGUGGGAUGGGCCCGCGGCCUAUCAGCUUGUUGGUGGGGUAAUGGCCUACCAAGGCGACGACGGGUAGCCGGCCUGAGAGGGUGACCGGCCACACUGGGACUGAGAUACGGCCCAGACUCCUACGGGAGGCAGCAGUGGGGAAUAUUGCACAAUGGGCGCAAGCCUGAUGCAGCGACGCCGCGUGAGGGAUGACGGCCUUCGGGUUGUAAACCUCUUUCAGCACAGACGAAGCGCAAGUGACGGUAUGUGCAGAAGAAGGACCGGCCAACUACGUGCCAGCAGCCGCGGUAAUACGUAGGGUCCGAGCGUUGUCCGGAAUUACUGGGCGUAAAGAGCUCGUAGGUGGUUUGUCGCGUUGUUCGUGAAAACUCACAGCUUAACUGUGGGCGUGCGGGCGAUACGGGCAGACUUGAGUACUGCAGGGGAGACUGGAAUUCCUGGUGUAGCGGUGGAAUGCGCAGAUAUCAGGAGGAACACCGGUGGCGAAGGCGGGUCUCUGGGCAGUAACUGACGCUGAGGAGCGAAAGCGUGGGGAGCGAACAGGAUUAGAUACCCUGGUAGUCC
rnacentral:rRNA from 1 species